rnacentral:sRNA from 1 species
ACUUCGCCGUUAUUGCGGUAUCCGGAUGGUGAUCGCAUCGACCCAACAUGCGCGCCCCCAACCCACCAUCCGGACGUACUCACG